UUUGCAACUUUUGCAACCUCAUUUGCAACUUUUACGGCUGCGCCGCCCAAGGUUGCAAAUGAGGUUGCAAAAUUUGCAAA
rnacentral:pre_miRNA from 1 species